rnacentral:snRNA from 1 species
GAAAAGGCCAUGAGCUUGUGGUC